AUGGGAGCAACAGGCGCAGUCUGCCGUGAUGGGGAAGGAUCAUAUCUUGGGUCUUCCUUGUUGGCAGUACAUGGUCUUCAAAACCCGGCCAUAUUGGAAGCUCUCGCAUGUAGGGAAGCGAUUGCUCUUGCAUAAGAUUUGGGGAUGCAGAAUAUUCAAGUGGCUUCGGACUGCCAGUAAAGUAUAAGACAUAUUCACCAAGGUGUAGGAGGAGAUGAUGGAGGGGUUAUUAAAGAGAUUUUAGAAAGCCUCAAAACUUUCUCAUCGUGUAAUUUUUCUUUCGAACCUCAAACUUCCAAUGUUGAUGCUCAUAGGAUUACUAGGUUUGGUGUUUCUCUACCUCAAGGGCGGCACCUUUGGCUAGGAUCUCCUCAUGACACUAGUACAACGAGCUCCUAA
rnacentral:rRNA from 1 species